rnacentral:lncRNA from 1 species
UUUUAAUAUGUACGAUUAAUGUGGGCUAAUAUACAGUAAUAUGAAUUGACAUAGUCCUUUUUAUAGCAACACAGUCAUAAACUAUAAUUAUUAUUUAUCCCAUUAUUGAGGAAGGGGUCUGCAAAGGCGAGAGUGUCUGGGGCUGCACACGUCAUGCAACCCUGGGCCCCAGCAGGGAGGCACCUUGCCCUCUGGUCAUCUAAUUUCCAAAUCCGAUCCCUACCAGCAACUCUACAGGUGGCCAGGAUGGCAGGUUUUCCCCUGCUUUCCACACAGAGAGGCUGAGGUUUGGAAAGAGUAGGUGAGCUGGUUGGCACCGGCCAGUCCUGAACUUUCUGAUGCCCCCUGUUGCCAUUUCAGGGUCCUUUUCUGCCAGGGAGACGUCAGGUGGAGAACCCUUCACUGUGUCCCCAAGCCUCAUCUGUCACCUUCUCCAGCUCCAUCUGGGCUUCCGGAGAGAGGGCUGCAUGAUCGAAACAGUGCAGCCUGCAUGCUGGCCCCAGGGGCCCUGUAAGGCUCAGAGCAGCCCUCGAAAGCCUGUCUCCAGAACCCCUCCUGGAACCAGUUACCUGCAAAGGAGCAACGGCCCAGCAGUGCAAAGGUGCCUGCCUCCCGAGAGCAGCUGUGUGCCCAGGCUCUUCGCAGCCAACAGAUGCUACACCAGCCUUGUCACCGGGGCGCUGAGGCUGAGGAAGCGGCCGCAAGGGACUGGCGACUCCUUGGACAUUUCCUGA